AACGAACGCUGGCGGCAUGCCUAACACAUGCAAGUCGAACGACACCUCCGGGUCUAGUGGCGCAUGGGUGCGUAACGUGUGGGAACCUGGACUUAGGCAUGGAAUAAUUCUCUGUCAUGGGUGCUAACAUCGGAAAACGUCCUCGGACAAAAGAUUUGUCGUAGUUGGAGGGGCAAGCGUUGGUCUAGCUUGUUGGUAGUGUAAGAGCCUAUCACGGCGUGGAUAGAUAGCUGGUUAGUGAGGAUGAUCAGCCACACUGGGACUGAGAUACGGCCCAGACUCUUGCGGGAGGGGGGAGAGGGUGAUAUAGGACAAUGGGGUAAGGCCUGAUCCAGCAAGGCUGCGAGAGUGAUGAAGUCGUUAGAGUAGUGAAGCACUUUAACCCGCGAUGAUAAUGACGGUACCGGGAGAAUAAGCUCCGGCUAACUCCGUG
rnacentral:rRNA from 1 species